ACCCGAUAGCAUAAUGAUUCCGCAUGGUUUCAUUAUUAAAGGAUUCCGGUAAAGGAUGGGGAUGCGUUCCAUUAGGUUGUUGGUGAGGUAACGGCUCACCAAGCCUUCGAUGGAUAGGGGUUCUGAGAGGAAGGUCCCCCACAUUGGAACUGAGACACGGUCCAAACUCCUACGGGAGGCAGCAGUGAGGAAUAUUGGUCAAUGGGCGCUAGCCUGAACCAGCCAAGUAGCGUGAAGGAUGAAGGCUCUAUGGGUCGUAAACUUCUUUUAUAUAAGAAUAAAGUGCAGUAUGUAUACUGUUUUGUAUGUAUUAUAUGAAUAAGGAUCGGCUAACUCCGUGCCAGCAGCCGCGGUAAUACGGAGGAUCCGAGCGUUAUCCGGAUUUAUUGGGUUUAAAGGGAGCGUAGGUGGACUGGUAAGUCAGUUGUGAAAGUUUGCGGCUCAACCGUAAAAUUGCAGUUGAUACUGUCAGUCUUGAGUACAGUAGAGGUGGGCGGAAUUCGUGGUGUAGCGGUGAAAUGCUUAGAUAUCACGAAGAACUCCGAUUGCGAAGGCAGCUCACUGGACUGCAACUGACACUGAUGCUCGAAAGUGUGGGUAUCAAACAGGAUUAGAUACCCUGGUAGUCCACACAGUAAACGAUGAAUACUCGCUGUUUGCGAUAUACAGUAAGCGGCCAAGCGAAAGCAUUAAGUAUUCCACCUGGGGAGUACGCCGGCAACGGUGAAACUCAAAGGAAUUGACGGGGGCCCGCACAAGCGGAGGAACAUGUGGUUUAAUUCGAUGAUACGCGAGGAACCUUACCCGGGCUUAAAUUGCAGUGGAAUGAUGUGGAAACAUGUCAGUGAGCAAUCACCGCUGUGAAGGUGCUGCAUGGUUGUCGUCAGCUCGUGCCGUGAGGUGUCGGCUUAAGUGCCAUAACGAGCGCAACCCUUAUCUUUAGUUACUAACAGGUUAUGCUGAGGACUCUAGAGAGACUGCCGUCGUAAGAUGUGAGGAAGGUGGGGAUGACGUCAAAUCAGCACGGCCCUUACGUCCGGGGCUACACACGUGUUACAAUGGGGGGUACAGAAGG
rnacentral:rRNA from 1 species